UCUCUCUCCUCCCUCUCCCAACCGUGCGACCACUCCUCCAUCUCCCCAUCUUCUUCUUCUCCUUCUUUGAAACCCAGCAGCUGCAGAAGAUUAGCCGGAGCAGCCGCGCGCCUCUGCUCGUUGCACGCCCUCGCCGGACCGCCGUUAGCCGGCCCUCCCCUUCUUCUUGUUGCUUCCGUUGACCCUCCCUCCUCCAUUUCUUCUUGUUUCUCGAGGAACCCAGCACGCCGAGCAGACCAGCGAAGCUGGAGAAGCCGCACGUCGCCUGGAGCCGCCGCACGCCGUCGCCGUUCGUCGCUCCUCGCGCGCGCGCAGCCCUUGCUCCUCGCCUGCCCGUGCUUGGCCGAAGCCCAGCCGCCCUCGUUUGUCUCGGUCCGCACAUUCCAGGAGCUGCCGGAGCUUGUCCCCGCCGCCGUGAGCCACCGUACGCCUCCGCCUCAGCCCGCCGGAGCCCCACCUAGCCCUCUCGGCCCUUGCAUGCUCCAACCGAGCUCGGAUCUGCCCUCUCUCCGGCCUCAGCCAGCAGCGAACGGAGAGGAGAAAAAUGGGUAUGGCAGUGGCUUCGUGGCCCGUUUUGGCCGGCUUCCCGACCCCGGAAGCUAGGCCCGCCUUGGAGACUAUCGAUCCUCGCGUCGUCCCCGUCGAUUUGAGCCGCUCGGAUCGCUAAUCGGGACCCUGAUGAAGAGCCUGAGGAGAAAGAACUCGAAGAGGAGUAUCUGAAGGAGAACCCCGAGGAUGAUCCGGAGUAGGAUCCCGAUGACUGUUGCUGUAGAAUCUAAUUGAGUAGAUACCAACCUUUUUAGCAUGGUUUGUAUAUGUACAUGUAUGACUGAGUCAUUAUAGAUGUACAUAAGGGUGUUGGUUUUCAGGUUCAAUUUUCUAGUCCUACUUAUAUAUCCCA